rnacentral:rRNA from 1 species
UACGGAGGGUGCGAGCGUUGUCCGGAAUCACUGGGCGUAAAGGGCGCGUAGGCGGCCUGAUAAGUAGGGGGUGAAAUCCUGCGGCUUAACCGCAGGGCUGCCUUCUAAACUGUCAGGCUAGAGCACGGUAGAGGCAGAUGGAAUUCCCGGUGUAGCGGUGGAAUGCGUAGAGAUCGGGAAGAACACCCGUGGCGAAGGCGGCACUCUGGAACGGUACUGACGCUGAGACGCGAAAGCGUGGGGAGCGAACAGG